CCGUCCUCUACCACGUGGAAGACUAGUGAUUUUGUUGUUUCAUCAACAACAAUCUUUAGUCUACUGCACGGUUGAUGGAUGCUAUCAUCAUUUCUUAUUUUUG
rnacentral:pre_miRNA from 1 species